rnacentral:lncRNA from 1 species
GAACUCCUCCACAGCAUCACCUGGGCUUGGCCUCUUACAGUGUCUCAGCUUCUCUUUAACAUAUCCCUCACCUUUUUUCACCUUCCUGCAGAGUGCUGACACCAUCACAGUAUGUUCCCUUUUCAACCCUGGACACGGUUCAAAAGCAGCUAAAGCAGACAAGAAUCUGGGGCAGCCAAUAUUAUACCACCUGCCAAAACUUGACACAAACAAUCUGGAAGCCAAAAAUUGCACAUACUGUGUUUUUCAAAUAUUUUUGAUCUGCUGUUGGUUGACUCCUUGGGUUAGGAACCUGUGGAUAUAGAGGGCCAACUGUACUAAGAAUCUUCAGCUCCCUCUCCUGGCAGAUCCCUGGAACAGAGCAAGUGGUUCUGGCCUCCGUGGGAUUUGGAUUCUGGUUUCCAGAGCUGAGAACACAAAGGUAAGUUUGCAGCUGGAAGCUUCAGAGAAAGUAGACAGAGCUAUGCAGAUAAGGGAAAAUGUGCUUUAUAGCAUGAACACAGAGUAUUUAAGAGUAAGCUUCACACACACUGAAGAGGAGAAUACCAGAAAAGCUGGG